rnacentral:rRNA from 1 species
AGUGAACGCUGGCGGCGUGCUUAACACAUGCAAGUCGAACGAGAACGGAUUAUAGCUUGCUAUAAUUGUCAGCUAAGUGGCGCACGGGUGAGUAAUGUAUAGGUAAUAUGCCUCUUACUAAGGGAUAACAAAUGGAAACGUUUGCUAAUACCUUAUACUCCUUAUUAACAGAAGUUAAUAAGGGAAAGAUUUAUUGGUAAGAGAUUAGCCUGUAUUGUAUCAGUUAGUUGGUGGGGUAAUGGCUUACCAAGACUAUGACACAUAACUGGUUUGGGAGGAUGAUCAGUCACACUGGAACUGAGACACGGUCCAGACUCCUACGGGAGGCAGCAGUGGGGAAUAUUGCACAAUGGACGAAAGUCUGAUGCAGCAACGCCGCGUGGAGGAUGACACAUUUCGGUGCGUAAACUCCUUUUAUAUGAGAAGAUAAUGACGGUAUUAUAUGAAUAAGCACCGGCUAACUCCGUGCCAGCCGCCGCCGUAACAC